AUGACUUUGUUACCCAAAAACUCACCAAGUGGAAUGAUGAGCUCAUCAUGUAGCUCCACAGCUCAUUUCCACCCAGAUGGGAGGAUUGUCUGGAUGUCUGAGGGUACUAGGUACCAAUCCACAGUUGAGGGAUGGGUUGAGCUGAUCAAUGCCCCUAAGGAAUCUGAAGAUGACUUGGAUGUAUAUGCAGAAAAGAAGAAAUACCACAAUUCUAUGUCUCACAUGUACAGAGAGAUCCCAGAAAAGGCUUUGGAAACUCACAAGCUUGAAUCUGUACAUUUCUUGUUGUUAGGUCUGCCUACUAUCAAUUGGAUACUUAGGCACACAUUGCUUCCCAAGUCAGGAGAUCACAAGAUGAUCAGAGGUCAUGCUAUCAACUUGCUGCACUUGUUUGAUAUACCUCAGAAAUUCAAAGUCAUAAGUCUGAUUGUGAAAACAAUCAAGAGGACUGCAGCUGAUCAGAAGAGGAGUUGUGGGUAUGCUCCACACAUUUAG
rnacentral:rRNA from 1 species